rnacentral:rRNA from 7 species
AAUGGGUCAGCGACUUAUAUUCUGUAGCAAGGUUAACCGAAUAGGGGAGCCGGAGGGAAACCGAGUCUUAAUUGGGCGUUAAGUUGCAGGGUAUAGACCCGAAACCCGGUGAUCUAGCCAUGGGCAGGUUGAAGGUUGGGUAACACUAACUGGAGGACCGAACCGACUAAUGUUGAAAAAUUAGCGGAUGACCUGUGGCUGGGGGUGAAAGGCCAAUCAAACCGGGAGAUAGCUGGUUCUCCCCGAAAGCUAUUUAGGUAGCGCCUCGUGAAUUCAUCUCCGGGGGUAGAGCACUGUUUCGGCUAGGGGGCCAUCCCGGCUUACCAACCCGAUGCAAACUGCGAAUACCGGAGAAUGUUAUCACGGGAGACACACGGCGGGUGCUAACGUCCGUCGUGAAGAGGGAAACAACCCAGACCGCCAGCUAAGGUCCCAAAGUCAUGGUUAAGUGGGAAACGAUGUGGGAAGGCCCAGACAGCCAGGAUGUUGGCUUAGAAGCAGCCAUCAUUUAAAGAAAGCGUAAUAGCUCACUGGUCGAGUCGGCCUGCGCGGAAGAUGUAACGGGGCUAAACCAUG